UCAAAUUAGCAGUUAAAGAUAACAGGAAAUUAACGGAACACGAUAACGGCGAAAUGGUGAAGAUGUUGAUUAUCUUGCUUGUGAUCUUAGGUUUUUCGGAGGGUCGUUACCCGUACGACACGUGUAACCCGGGGUUGGUAAACGAAGGGUGGACUUGUAACGAAGAAAAUUUGUGUUGGUUUGGAUGUGACAAACUUAAUUUUAAGUGUUGGUCACAAUGUAAUGGAGCUAGUGCGAUUGCAUGGGACGGGCCGGAAGGAACAUGUAAUACAGAGUGGCACUCAAUGUGGGAUAUUGAGUGGUGCUGGCUGCGUGGCGCGAACACCACGUGUACUACUGACUCAGACUGCGAGGGUGUCAAAUUCAACCAAUGUGCUGGAGCUUGCUCUAUCGCUUAGAUACCAGAAUAUAGACUUAGUUACUGGGAUAUAGAGUUUUAGAGCUUAGUUACCGGGACAUGUAGCUUAUUUACUGUUAUACAUAUAAUUAUGUAUAAUGUCCUAGCUAAUAAAGGACGAUGGGUUGAGCAAAUUAUUAAUUAUUAAGUAUUUUUAUUGUAUCAUUAUAAUAUUUUUAUAUUUUCAUUACCUAAAUAUGUGAAAAUUAAGUGAAAAUUUCAUUUGUCAAAAAAAAUAGAGCCAUUCACAUUUUACACACUAUUCUCAACUCAGGGAACUCACCCUGUAUAUGUAUGUAUAAUUAUAACUUAAUAAAAAUAUAAUUCAGGACUCUGUUUUGCA